rnacentral:rRNA from 1 species
AACGAACGCUGGCGGCAGGCUUAACACAUGCAAGUCGAACGGAUCCUUCGGGAUUAGUGGCGGACGGGUGAGUAACGCGUGGGAACGUACCCUUUGCUACGGAAUAACUCAGGGAAACUCGGGCUAAUACCGUAUGUGACCUCCGGGGGUCAGAUUUGUCGGCAAAGGAGCGGCCCGCGUUGGAUUGGCUAGUUGGUGUGGUAAUGGCCUACCAAGGCGACGAUCCUUAGCUGGGCUGAGAGGAUGAGCAGCCACACUGGGACUGAGACACGGCCCAGACUCUUACGGGAGGGAGGAGUGGGGAAUACUGGAAAACGGGGGGAAGCCUGAUCGAGCCAUGCCGGGUGAGUGAUGAAGGUCGUAGGAUUGUAAAGCUCGUUCACCGGUGAAGAUAAUGACGGUAGCCGGAGAAGAAGCCCCGGCUAACUUCGUG